GUGGGGAAUUUUGGACAAUGGGGGCAACCCUGAUCCAGCCAUUCCGCGUGAGUGAAGAAGGCCUUCGGGUUGUAAAGCUCUUUCGGCAGGAACGAAACGGUGAGCUCUAACAUAGCUCGCUAAUGACGGUACCUGAAGAAGAAGCACCGGCUAACUACGUGCCAGCAGCCGCGGUAAUACGUAGGGUGCGAGCGUUAAUCGGAAUUACUGGGCGUAAAGCGUGCGCAGGCGGUUGUGUAAGACAGGUGUGAAAUCCCCGGGCUUAACCUGGGAACUGCGCUUGUGACUGCACGGCUAGAGUAUGGCAGAGGGGGGUGGAAUUCCACGUGUAGCAGUGAAAUGCGUAGAGAUGUGGAGGAACACCGAUGGCGAAGGCAGCCCCCUGGGCCUGUACUGACGCUCAUGCACGAAAGCGUGGGGAGCAAACAGGAUUAGAAACCCCUGUAGUCC
rnacentral:rRNA from 1 species